GUGAAUCAUCGAAUCUUUGAACGCACAUUGCGCCCUCUGGUAUUCCGGGGGGCACACCUGUUCGAGCGUCAUUACACAAAUCAAGCCCUGCUUGGUAUUGGGUGAGGCCCUUCGGGGCCCGCCUCAAACCCCUCGGCGUCGCCGUCCGUCUUCGAGCGCAGCGAGAUAACUUUCCAGCGUUUUCGAGACGGGCCACGUCCGCCGCAGAACACACCUUUUUUUCUAUCAAGGUUGACCUCGGAUCAGGUGGGGAUACCCGCUGAACUUAAGCAUAUCAAUAAGCGGAGGA
rnacentral:misc_RNA from 1 species